CUGGCUCAGGAUGAACGCUGGCGGCGUGCCUAACACAUGCAAGUCGAGCGAGGAGAUAAGAGCUUGCUCUUUGAUCUUAGCGGCGGACGGGUGAGUAACGCGUGGGUAACCUGCCCUAUACACAUGGAUAACAUACCGAAAGGUAUGCUAAUACAAGAUAAUACUAAGAUAAGGCAU
rnacentral:rRNA from 1 species